rnacentral:lncRNA from 1 species
UCAGGUUCCAUGGCUUCACCAUCCUACACAAUAGUACGAUUGUAAAUAUUUUGGUGGUACUAUUGAUUGAAUUGAUCUAUUUGGUAGUGAACCCUAUUUUGCAACCUCUGAUAAUUUUAUAUGGGCAAUUCCUAGGACAUAGUAGAUCCAACAACCUGGUAAUUUGUUAAUCUAAAUGAAAACAACUAUUGUUGAUGGCAAAAUUAGGAGGCAACUCUGAUUAUGGAGUAUCGUAGAUAUGUACAUGUGGCACAUAAGAGAAUCAGAUCGCACUAUGAAUGCCUAUAUACAUACUAAAAAGAUCUAACAUCGAAUCACAAUUAGAUUAUCGAUGCCUAUAUAUAUAUCAAGUGCAGUAGUUAGUUUUUCAUGACAAGGAUAUGCAGUUUAAAGCACACUGUAAGGAUAGUUUUCCAUAAGCAUCGAUCAUAUUUGUCCAGAAUAUAUAGUGUACAGUAAGAGCUAAGCAGUAAGCAGAUGAAAAUUAGAAUAUCUUGUGAUGUUGAUAGCAGUAAGUGGGGCAAGCGAGACCAGAUUUAAUAGUAAAUUACCUUCAUGUUUAAGAUGUUGGUAGCAAGCUAGGAAAAUAACUGAUAAGGGAUGUGAACAUCCUGUGAGACAAACAUGCGACAAAAAUUGAAGUGUCCAGUCAUAUGAUGAACUAAAGAUUAGUGGCAUGCUCAUCUUCUUCCACUUCGUAGAUUUAUCCUUUUGAACCAAACGACUCAUCUUGCAUUAUUGCUUCUUGUAUCCCCUCUGUAGAAAAAUAUGGAUGAUGAGAAGGAAAAAAAUUAAGAAGGAAAACACAGAUAAGGCUAAGUGCCAUGUAUGGAAAUCUUCAGAGGACAAAAUACUGCUCAAUAUAUUCAAAGAUCAAAGUCUACAUGGAGGAAAAGAAGGAACGGGUUACACAAAGAAAGCAUGGCGUGAUAUCUUAGAACUAUUCAAUGAUUCAAGGGUAGAAAAACUUGAAUUACAACAAUUGAAAAAUCAUCAUAAGUAUUACAGGAGUUGCUACACCACCAUGGAUAGGCUUCUAAAACUCACGAGAUUUGGUUGGGAUGACGAUGACAAAAUGAUAAAAGCUUCAGAAGAUAUUUGGGAAGAACUAAUUAAGGUAAGUUUGUUGUAGUAGAAUUCAUAUAAAGUUGCAUAAUCCUAUUAUUAACCAAAACAUUAAACAACUUGCAGAAGGAUAAGGCUAUCCAAGAAUAUUGAGAUAAGGUGUGGCCUAGUUGGAUAGAUCUUCAAGCCAUAUGUGCUAGUUCAAUAGCAUCUGGAGCUGGUGCUGUAUCUAGCAAAGGAAAAGAUGGUACAUGUAUGACCAAAUCUUCACAAAUUGAUCUCAAUACGGAAGUUGAAGUACAUGACAUCGAUUCUGAUGAAAUCAAUGCUUCCCUUGGUGUAUUCACCAAGAAGUCACCUACCAUUGAGCCAGAAAAAAAAGAAGUCCCUUGGAAGUGGAUCCAAGGAAACUACAAGAGGACAAAAACGGACAGCCGAUGAUGCCAUAAUAGCAACUGAUCGCCUUGCAGAUGCAUCACUUAGCAUUGCUGAAGCAAAGAAAACAGUAGCUAAACAAAAUGAAGCUUACUCGGUUAAAUCUUGUAUGGCAAUAUUAAAUAGUAUGAGUAAUCUAGAUCCCAAAGUGAAACUAAAAGUGGUAAAGGCAUUUACAGAUGGUGAUAAACAGGCCAUUUUCAUUGAGAUGGAUGAAGAGAUGCAGAAGCUCUGGAUUCUUGAUCCUUAGAAUUUUUGUAAUACACAUUUGAGCAUAGUAUUUUAUUUUAGUCGUUAUCGCACUUUACAAGAUUCGAAAAACAAUUUCACUUAUGUUUUGUUAGUUUGUGUGAAGUAAUAAAUUUUAUUUUCAGUUCGUUAUUGUUCAUUGUCGGGUUCAUCACUGUUACAUUAUAAAACAAUUAUCCUGAGAUGAUAUGGUCAACUGUGCAAAUCAUGGAGGGAUCUAUGAACAUUUCGGAUGUGCCAGAUGAUGACCUUUUUGAUUCCGAGUAAGUGCUUAUUAAUAACAUUUCUGCAGUGUCCUUGUUUCGUGAUGUGUUGUUCACAAGGUUAUUCAAAACAGCCCGUAACACUUCUAUAUUAACUGGUGCUCAGAAAACAAUAGAGUUUUUAGAGGGACAUCCAGUUAGAUUUUAUGAACAAUUUCGUCUUGAGAAGCACAUAAUCUACUUGCUACAGGAUGCUUUGUGCGAGAGAAAGUUACUUAAGGAUACAAAUCGAAUGACGGUGGAUGAACAACUACUCAUGUUUCUACAUACAAUUGGUCACAAUGUUAGAAACCGUGUCAUCCAAGAUAGAUAUCAACAUUCUGGCGAACCAAUCAGCCGACACUUCAACAAAGUUUUAGAUGCCAUAAAUGGUUUGCGUGAUGUUUGCAUAACAGAUCCAAACAAUCAAGUCCCAUCAAAAAUAUUGGGUGACGCAAGGUUCUACCCAUAUUUCAAGGUAUGUUUGCUAUUCGAAGCAGAUACUCCUUUACAUAUGAUUUUCAUAAAUAUAAUGUCCACACCAUCUAAACUUUAUUUUUUGACUAACAAAAAAAUCCUAACAGAACUGCCUAGGAGCAAUUGACGGGACACAUAUUGAGGCAAAAGUCAGGCUUGAUAAGCAAACUCCUUAUAGAAACAGACAUGGUUAUCUGUCUCAACACGUAAUGGCAGUAGUGUCAUUUGACAUGACAUUCUCUUAUGUCGCUGCUGGAUGGGAGGGUUCUGCAUCUGAUCAAGUUGUUCUAAGAUGGGCUGUUACUAGUGGGGGUUUAGUUGUUCCUGAAGGUAAAGUACAAUUAUUUGUGUAUCUACAAUAUAUAUAAAGAUGGCGACUGUGAUAUGAAAUUAAUGUGCAGGUAAAUUUUACCUUGUUGAUUCUGGCUACGCAAAUACUCCAAGAUUUAUUGCCCC